rnacentral:rRNA from 1 species
UACGAAGGGUGCAAACGUUGCUCGGAAUCAUUGGGCGUAAAGCGCACGUAGGCGGCCUCAUAAGUCGGAUGUGAAAUCCCUCGGCUCAACCGAGGAAGUGCAUCCGAAACUGCGAGGCUCGAGUAUGGAAGAGGGUCGCAGAAUUCCCGGUGUAGAGGUGAAAUUCGUAGAUAUCGGGAGGAAUACCAGUGGCGAAGGCGGCGACCUGGGCCAAUACUGACGCUGAGGUGCGAAAGCGUGGGGAGCAAACAGGG